GAGAAAAAAAAAAAGCCUACAACAGAGAACCAGAAGAAAAAAGGGCAGAGAGAACGAGGGGGAGGCAGGCGUCGUUGACACUAACCGACGCCUGCGACCCGCGACGCCGCACCUCCGCUCCACCGGCUGCUGCCGCCAAGCCGAAGUUGAAGCCCGCAAGCAACGGCCAAGAGAGGAUCCGCACGCGCAGGUCAAAUCUGGAGGGAGGAGGCUCACCGUCACCGUCCCUGCCGCCGCCACCCGACGCUGCUGUAUCAGAUUAGGUAUCCGAUUAAUUGGUCAAAUAGUGUAAUCAAGGCACAGGAAUAUAUCGCAAUCCGCUAAGUCGAAUCAGAUGGUUCAAAAAGGUUCAAAAAGGUUCGAAUCAAGCACGCAACAAACGCAAACGGAGCAAACGGAGGCAAUGUAGAGGAGUCCGGC